rnacentral:rRNA from 1 species
GUGCCAGCAGCCGCGGUAAUACGGAGGAUCCAAGCGUUAUCCGGAAUCAUUGGGUUUAAAGGGUCCGUAGGUGGACAAUUAAGUCAGAGGUGAAAUCCUGCAGCUCAACUGUAGAAUUGCCUUUGAAACUGGUUGUCUUGAAUCAUUAUGAAGUGGUUAGAAUAUGUGGUGUAGCGGUGAAAUGCAUAGAUAUCACAUAGAAUACCGAUUGCGAAGGCAGAUCACUAAUAAUGUAUUGACACUGAUGGACGAAAGCGUGGGGAGCGAACAGGAUUAGAUACCCUGGUAGUCCACGCCGUAAACGAUGGAUACUAGUUGUUCGGGCUUCGGCCUGAGUGACUAAGCGAAAGUGAUAAGUAUCCCACCUGGGGAGUACGUUCGCAAGAAUGAAACUCAAAGGAAUUGACGG